rnacentral:lncRNA from 1 species
AGGCGGUAAGUAACUUCCCUUAGAUGGUAUUGCUCUAUUGUGGAAAGAAGGGGACUUGCCUUCAGAAAUGUCAGGCAUAUCCUGACAGAGCUCAAAGGGUUGAGAUGAAGGAAUCUGGAGUCAGCCAGACCUGGAAUGGAGCCCCAGCUCUGCCAUCUCCUAGCUGGGUGACGUUGGGUGAAAUCGCUGAGACUAACAAGAUUAAGUUGCCCGAGGUCAUAUGAAAUUCUCCAUGUGCAUGGAGGGUCCUCCUGGGUGAGGUACUGUAUGGGACUUCCACUUUAAUGCACUUCCUACAAAAUCUCCAGAAACCUUUACCUUGUUCCAGGGGAUCAAUGACAGUCAGAUGGCAGACCUGGGAAAGCUAGGACACAGAUCCCAGAGGCAGGGGGACAAGCGCAGCUUCAGGAGUCCUAACAUGGUUUCACCCCUUCUCUCAAUCCAAAACGUAUUUAUAUUAUUUUGAAAGAGAUUAAGAAUGAUAAUCCUAUAAGGCCAUCCUUUUCUAAUCAAACUUUUAAAUAACAAAAAAUUUGACUCAGUUUGGGCAACAAAGUGAGACCCUGUCUCUAUAAAAAAAAAAAAAAUACAAAAAUUAGCUGGGCAUAGUGGUGCGUGCCUGUGGUCCCAGGACUCAGAAGGCUGAGGUAAGAUCACUUAAGCCUAGGAGGUUGAGGCUGCAGCGAGCCAAGGUCAUGCCACUGCACUCCAGCUUAGGCAACACAGCCAGACCCUAUCUCUAAAAAGAUUUUUAAAAUUUGAUACUUAACACAAAUGGGCAGAUAUUUUUACAAAAAUACACAUCCUAGAAUGGACUAUUUAUAAUACCCCCAAACUGGAGCCAAAUAUCCAUCAGUGGAAGAAUGGGUAAAUAGUGCUGAAUUCAUUCAUGCUCGAUCUGUUCAGUCCUCUGCAAAGCAGGCAUCAAGGUGGAAUUAGAAGUGCAGAAGGUGUACUGGAGGAAACUUCCAUCGGAAUAUAGUAUUCCAUGGAAUACUAUACAGCAGUACAAAUGAAUGAAGCAUGGCUACCAUACAAUCAUAUGGAUGAAUGUCACAAACUGAAUGUUAAAUGAAGGAAGCCAGACCUGGGGGAGCACACAUGGUCUGCUGCCAUUUAUGUAAGUUCAGAAAUUGCAAA